GCACUCUGCCAGAUCAAUUCAAGCCUAGUGCUGCAGUAACUUGCAGGGGAGGCCAUUUAGAUACAAAGUGAUAGCAAACUUCUCUUUGGAGGUAACCCUUGUUAACGCAGAGAAUGAGGUCCCUGCUUGAUGUCAGCCGGUCUGCCAGCUGGACACACAGCUUCACCCGGGCUAAAACAAGCUGUACUGAAAAGAAGUGGCGUGCUGCUCCGCCAUGUACACGGCCACAGAGGACAGGGGCAGGAGGGUGAGCCGUCUGCAGUCCGCCUCAGACAUGGAGGACAUGCGGAGGCAGCGGUCCAGCUGGUCCCAGUGCAGCACCUGGAGUCCUGAGCGGACCCAGUGGUCCAGCCGGCUGAGGGCCACGCUGCCCCCUGGGGCCACAGAGGGAAUGGGCUGGAUAAUGGAGGAAAGUGCAGCAAGAAACAUGAGGAGCUGCAUGAUGAUGCUGCCUGCUCUUCACGUUGAACUCUCUCUUCUUUAUUAAAACUCAAUGGGUUUUUUCUUCUUUAUUUUGAUUCUAUUUUUCCACUAUUAAUUUGCUUCUUGGGAUAUCAUUUCUGUAUUUUAAACAUUUCAGUUCCAGAGGUAAUUUUUUCUUGACUCAUCUGAUCCAAUCUUCUUUUUUUAUGUUUUCACUUUAUUUAUGUUGCUUUAGCGUCUGAAGUCCAACUUAUUCUUUGAAUUUCCUUCUGGUUUAUAUUUUAAAAAAGGUCUAGAAAUCUCAGAGGUGAAAUUAAUUGAGGUUUUUUUUGCCAAGUUGAAAUUCUUCCUUUCCUUCACUCGUUUUUUUUUUUUAUUUGCCCAGAGCAGAACCUGAAGGUGAAAUAAACGGCAGCAUGGUUGGGUUGCAGAGACUGUCCUCCUCCUGCUGGGUCUUUAUUUAAGUCCUCUAUCCUUUGUUUUUAUUGGUUCUCAGAAGAAAUCCUUUGCUGUUCGUGACCAGAUUUCUUCUGUCAGUUCUAUUCUCUUUGGUUCGGAACAAUCGAAUCAAAC